rnacentral:rRNA from 1 species
GAGUUUGAUCUUGGCUCAGAUUGAACGCUGGCGGCAUGCCUUACACAUGCAAGUCGAACGGCAGCGCGGGAGCAAUCCUGGCGGCGAGUGGCGAACGGGUGAGUAAUACAUCGGAACGUGCCCAAUCGUGGGGGAUAACGCAGCGAAAGCUGUGCUAAUACCGCAUACGAUCUACGGAUGAAAGCAGGGGAUCGCAAGACCUUGCGCGAAUGGAGCGGCCGAUGGCAGAUUAGGUAGUUGGUGGGGUAAAGGCUCACCAAGCCGACGAUCUGUAGCUGGUCUGAGAGGACGACCAGCCACACUGGGACUGAGACACGGCCCAGACUCCUACGGGAGGCAGCAGUGGGGAAUUUUGGACAAUGGGCGCAAGCCUGAUCCAGCCAUGCCGCGUGCAGGAUGAAGGCCUUCGGUU